rnacentral:rRNA from 1 species
AAGCCGGGCACUCUGGCGGGACUGCCAUCGACAAGGAUGGAGGAAGGUGGGGAUGACGUCAAGUCAUCAUGGCCCUUAUGUCCAGGGCGACACACGUGCUACAAUGGCCGGCACAGCGGGAAGCGAGGCAGUGAUGCCGAGCGGAUCCCUUAAAGCCGGUCUCAGUUCGGAUUGAAGUCUGCAACUCGACUUCAUGAAGCUGGAAUCGCUAGUAAUCGCAGAUCAGCCAAGCUGCGGUGAAUACGUUCCCGGGCCUU